UGGGGAAUUUUGGACAAUGGGGGAAACCCUGAUCCAGCCAUCCCGCGUGUGCGAUGAAGGCCUUAGGGUUGUAAAGCACUUUUGGCAGGAAAGAAACGUCAUGGGUUAAUACCCCGUGAAACUGACGGUACCUGCAGAAUAAGCACCGGCUAACUACGUGCCAGCAGCCGCGGUAAUACGUAGGGUGCAAGCGUUAAUCGGAAUUACUGGGCGUAAAGCGUGCGCAGGCGGUUCGGAAAGAAAGAUGUGAAAUCCCGGAGCUCAACUUUGGAACUGCAUUUUUAACUACCGGGCUAGAGUGUGUCAGAGGGAGGUGGAAUUCCGCGUGUAGCAGUGAAAUGCGUAGAUAUGCGGAGGAACACCGAUGGCGAAGGCAGCCUCCUGGGAUAACACUGACGCUCAUGCACGAAAGCGUGGGGAGCAAACAGG
rnacentral:rRNA from 1 species